GGGUCGUUAGCUCAGUUGGUAGAGCAGUGGACUUUUAAUUCAUGGGUCCUGGGUUCGAGCCCCAGACGACCCA
rnacentral:tRNA from 1 species